AUUGAACGCUGGCGGCAGGCCUAACACAUGCAAGUCGAGCGGAGCGGCGGACGGGUGAGUAAUGCCUAGGAAUCUGCCUGGUAGUGGGGGAUAACGUCCGGAAACGGGCGCUAAUACCGCAUACUAUCAGAUGAGCGUAGGUCGGAUUAGCUAGUUGGUGGGGUAACGGCCUACCAAGGCGACGAUCCGUAACUGUACUGAGAGGAUGAUCAGUCAAACAGGAACUAAACAACGGUGCAGACUCCUAAGGGAGGCAGCGGUGGGGAAUAUUGGAUAAUGGGCGAACGCCUGAUCCAGCCAUGCCGCGUGUGUGAAGAACGUCGUCGGAUUGUAAAGCACUUUAAGUUGGGAGGCGUUACCAACAGAAUAAGCACCGGCUAACUGCGCGCCAGCCGCGGUAAUAC
rnacentral:rRNA from 1 species